rnacentral:rRNA from 1 species
CUGGAAAGUGUAUCUAGGAUUAUAU